AUUUAAUGGCCAUCUGAUGGGUUUUUAGUGGAUCAAGAAAAGCCAAGGGACAUAGGUACAUGUGAUGUAAACACAAAUUGAUUAUUGGAAGGUAUAGUAUUCUAGAUGUUAGUUUAACUUGCAUAUCUUCAAGAGGCACCUUCUUUGUAGAUAUUUUUAACUUCAAAAAUGGAUGAACUCAGCGCUUAUCUUUAGGAGGGAAAUAGCUUUGUUGCAUUUUUUGUAAGUAAUCUAUCUCUCAACAGUUUGUUUCCAACCACAUCUAAAAAUGCUCUUACUAUUAAGUAGAUAUACACAUUUAUAAGUAAACACUUGUUAUUUCCCAUGAUAGAUUAUUGACCUUUUCUAUUAGUUCAUUAGAGCAUUUUUAAAAUUUUAAAUAUUGAUUAUGCAGAUCAGUAUUGACUGACCAUGUACACUCCUUAUUAAUGAUGCAAACACAUAUUACUAAAUACACACUGCAAUCUACUGCUAUAAGGUGUUUUGAAUAAUGUUGAGGGUUUAAAUUCCUGUAACUGUUAUUUAGCCUUUCAAGAGAAACCUGCUUUAGUAAACCCAAAAAUAAAAUACACACACACACUUUUGUCAUUUAUAAGCCAGACCACUAUAUUUAGGAGCCAGAUGUAGUAUUCUGGGCAGAAUUCUACUUCAAAAUCAAAUGGAAAUGAGCCAUCGGUAAUAUUUUUUAGACAUUAAGUAUCCCAUGUUUAUUGUAUUUUAUAGAUCUUGACCACACAAUGUGUGUUACAUCAAACACAUUCUUUAUCCUAAUAUGUUUUAUUCUUGAUCUUCUAUUCUGCCCAACGGAAGCACCCUAGAGAUGUCCAUUCCUUUCAAAACCAUUGCUGACUUACAUGUAUUUCCCUAAAAAGUAGCCCAGUAUUAUUUUAAUAAAAACAUAAAUUACUUAACCUAAUAUACUGCAAUUUUAAUGUAGUAAAUUUCCUAUUAUAUAUUUUCAGAUAUGUCUUUUUUUAAUGUGAAUACGUUGAAAGUCCACUUGUAUCAUACCACCAUGAUCUGUUUAGUCACCCCAUUUAGUGUACAGUACUAUGCUAGCCUAAACUUAAGAAUGCUCUGUGGAACAGAUUUCUUGAACUUCGGCUUGUCUGUAGUUUCCGUUCUUUGCAUUAAUCAAUGAAAGAACAAAUGAGGAAUAAGAAUUAUUAUUUUUUUUAAUUUCAUGAGGUUAAAGUCUUUAAGGACACUGCAAUGUUUCCUACAUGGUUAACACCAUCUUACUUUAAGAGGUUACGCAGUAUACAAACUGUUUAAACCCAUAGUUGUUAAGACUUCACCCGUUUGCUCUGGCCCUCUCCUUGCCGUGAAGUUCCAAGGCUUCAGUGAGGAAGCCUUGGACUGGGUGCCACUGAUAGACUGGUGCAUUGUUUGGCUCAACAUCAGUUGUAUACAUUAAGUUACAGAUUCUAUGAAUCCAAAGAAUACAUUUCUACCAGUCUUUCUACAGUGACAUCCAAGUAUGGAAAAUUGCUUUAAGACCCUUGUGGUGGUAAAUAAACAUGCAGUUCUGACUUGUUCAGUGGCAGGCCUGGAUAUGCUAUGUUCCUCAUUUUAAUGUACAGAACUCUUUCCCAACUUUUAAUCCUAGUACUCAUUACCUGUUCACAUAUUCACGCACAUUUGUUUUGGCUCACAAAGUGUGUGGCUCACAGUCUGAGCUCAGUCACAAGUUGGUGAAUAGGAAAAUAGUGAGUAAAUCUACAUUUUGUAAUUUUAUUAAUGAGAUGACAUACACAAAAGGGUAUUGGAGAAGGUUUCUGUUGAUUGCACCAUAACCUCCCUUCAUUAUAGGAUAUAAACUCUCUUUUCCUGAAAAAAAUAAAAUAAAAUUAACAUAUUUGAAUUUUUCCAUCCCCAAGAGCAAACAAAACCAUCUAUCUAUCACCAUGGACUUAAACAUGUUUGGUCACACCAACUGGUUCUUAAUGUUAGAAAUAUGUGUUUGUGUUUCUUUCAUUCAGAUGCCUACUCAUUACACAGAAAAAAAACCGCAACAUUAGAAACCUAACCAUGUUUUAUGGGGUGGAGGGGUUGUUUUAUUUUUUUCCUACCAAUAAAAUCCUUUGUUCACAAAAUGGCCAACAAGGAAGAGCCAAGGAGCGGUUUAAAUCCACCAAUCAAAAGUAGUUACUGGACCGUCAACUGCUUCACUACAUUUUCAUAGGUUUUUCUCUUUACAAACUUUAAGGGGAGGAUUGUCAAUGUGUUAAGGUUUCACUCAUUGCUUGCUGGGUCUUAGGAAACCCUUUUUUGCCCUAUCCCAAGUGUAAUCCUGAAAAUGAUCACUUUAAGAUCACGCCUAGUGUAGUAUUCAAUAAAUGUUGCACUUUUUCAAUCUUGUAUUGAGAACACAGAGGUUGAGAAGACUGACACCCUCUGCUUCCCUCCGUUGAAUGAAUGAGAAGAGUGAUUGCAUUGUUGCUUAAUUCUUCUGUUGGUUAUUCUUGGUAAGCAGAUAUUCAGUGAGUAGGGGGUAUUUCUGCUGCCUUAUUUUCAACCCAGUGACUGGAGUUGUCUACUUUUAGAAAAUUUAGAAGCCUGAAGUAAUACUUGUAUUCCUUUACCCCCUACAAUACCAGAAGGGCCAGAAAUACAAUGUAUUGCUUGUCCAUCUGGCACUGGAAGGGUUCAUCCAGUUUCCUUUUUACACUCUUUUUCAGGCCUAUUUUUGUGUGUGCAAAAAUAUAAAAAAAAAUAAAAGUCAGAGAUCAUUCAGAAUUUUUUUAAAUAGUUUGGUAAAACAAAUGCUUGGAUUGUUAUUACUCUACAUUCUUCUCUGUGAGCAAUCAAGUAACCAUCAACAUUUUGUAUGCAGUUUAGUUGCUGUUUAUGAUACUUUAGAGCUUUUGUUAUUGAGCAUAUGUGUUAUUUUACAUUAAUGAUUAAAUUAUCCUUACAGGCAUAAUCAAUUGGAACUUGUCUGUAUUUUUAAUACUUAAUCAUAAAUUAUGCUAAUUCUUAUUUUAACAGAAUUUCUUUUUGGAUGGUGUGGGUGGGAUUCUUUUCACAGUCAAUUCUUGCUUUAUUCUAAAACACUACAACGAGAACUCUUGGUACACUCGUACACUAGUAUUUAAAUAAAAAGCAUCAUCUAACAGGCAUACUUAACAGCAUUAUACUGUUAAAAUAAAUUGAUUAAAUUUUUUCCAGUUAAGUAUAUGCCUUUAAUUGUUUUAUAAUUUUACUUGCAGGUUAUACCACUAUAAACUUUGAUACAUAUAUAUAUAUAUAUAUAUAGCUGUCACAUUAUUAAUAUUCAUAUACAUAUAUAUAGAAUAAUGUGACCGCUAUUUAUUUACUCGUAAGUAAUCUUUUUAGAAUUCAGAAUUUAGAAUUCAUUUUUACUGUGCCACACUUUACAUAGUUGUCUUUCCGUACCUAUUAAUUCAUUUGAAACAGCUGUUCGAGUAGUAGGUUUAACUACCACAGAUGUUUUAGUGCAUAUGCAAGUUAAUUCAAAGGCAGCUGUUUUUGGGAAGGAAAGUUGGCCUUAAGGUAUCAUAAACAGCAAUUAGGUACUUCUCCAGGACCAAUAUUGCUUCACUGAUCACGCACACUCAGCAUGGUAUAUUUGUUUUGCCCUGAGCUCUCAUUCCUUAUGAAUCCACUUGGCAGCUAAAAUUGUUGAUCAAGGAACCAAUGGCAUACAAAGUUUAUUACUGAAAAUGUAUGUCUAAUAAAAAAAAAAUGAUUGGUGUGAUAUUGGCACACACACAAUCAGUUUUCUUUUCUCCAAGUUGCUUGCCCAACUAGUGUGGCCCAAAACUUGCUAACAUUUCAGAAAUAUUUUCACAGAUAUCUUUUUAUAUUGCCAAUAUUUAUUCCUAAUUUGGAUUGCACAUUUAGAAGAAUAAACUCAUUAAAUAAUAAACAUUAUUUUAUGUGAAAAUUCUGAAUUUUCUCAAGCUUGAAAAUAAAAAAAUAAAUUAAAAGUUUUUUUUUAAAAAAAAACAUAAAAAACAACACAUUGCUUGAAGGAAUUUAAUUUUGCACUAUAAUUUUUAGAAUUUUAAUUUCUUUGGCCAGGCGUGUCGAACAAGUGCUUAUGGAGAGACCCUCUAUUAUAUUCUCUCAGGCCUUUUAUGGUAUUUCUCCUAUAAUCCAGAAAUACCCACUUUGUAGCUCUCCGU
rnacentral:lncRNA from 1 species